rnacentral:rRNA from 1 species
GUCCUUUAGAUAUUAAUUUAAGGUCUAACCUGCCCACUGAAAUGUUUUAAAUGGCCGCAGUAAUUUGACUGUGCAAAGGUAGCAUAAUCAUUAGUUUUUUAAUUAAAAGCUUGUAUGAAAGGUUGGACGAAGUAAAAUCUGUCUCUAAUUAAAUUAAUUUAGAAUUUAACUUUUAAGUUAAAAGGCUUAAAUUUAACUAAAAGACGAGAAGACCCUAUAGAUCUUUAUAUUUUUAUUAUUAAAUUUAAUUAAGAAUUUUUAAAAUUUUAUUAAUUUAAAUAUUUUAUUGGGGUAAUAUAAAGAUUUAAAUAAUUCUUUUUUUUUAUUAACAUUAAUUUAUGAUUUUUAUGAUCCAAUUAUAUUGAUUUUAAGAUUAAGUUACCUUAGGGAUAACAGCGUAAUUUUUUUAGAGAGUUCUUAUCGAUAAAAAAGUUUGCGACCUCGAUGUUGGAUUAAAGAUUAUUUUAGGUGCAGAAGUUUAAAAAUUUUGGUCUGUUCGACCAUUAAAUCUUUACAUGAUCUGAGUUCAGACCGGUGUAAGCCAGGUCGGUUUCUAUCUUUAGUAAAUUAAAAUAUUUCAGUACGAAAGGACCAAUUAUUUAAUAUAAAUAUUUAUAUUUUGAUUAUUAUUAA